AUGGGCUCUUCCUACAAGUCCUGAGCUUGUGUUUAUAUCUCUUCCACAGUGGCACAGAGUUCACAGAGCACUCCUUUGACAACUGUGGAGUUGGUUUCCAGGAAAGCCAGAGGGAAGGUGCAGGACUUGGGCCUUUUCUCUCUCAGGAUGAGGACCAGUGUUGAAGAGAGAGAGCCCCUUCCUCGAGUUCAAAGAUCAAAGGAUUGUCCACUCAGCUUGGGUAUCAAUGAUGAAGAGAGAAUUUGAAGAAGUUUCUGGGCUUGAGAAGGGACACAGACCCUCUUAGAAAUGAGAUAGCAGCAACAGUCUGGCUCCAUUAAUCCACUUCCUUCAUAUAACUAAUUUCUUCUCUUCACCCACCCCAGGAUGGAAGAAACUUCCAUUUAUUGCUUUUUGUUUAAUUUUGGUUUGGUUUUCCUGUACCUGCCUGGCUAGAGGGAAGGAAGAAGGCAGGAACAGAAGAAAUGGAAGGACAGAGAGAAGUCAGGGUAGUUUCAGAUUCACCUUUCAGAAAAACACCAACUUUGGCCAACUUCCUGAAGAGCCAACCAUUGGUCUAUUGAAUUCGACAGCUUGGUUUCUGUAGAGCAAGGUGAGUCAUGUGGAAGGUCACACACAAAGACCACGAGGCUCAGUCUGCGCAGAGUUGAGCCAGUGACGUGUCCGUUCUGAAACAUGGAAGGAACUCGUGGCCCUCAAAUCAGGUCAGGCCAUCUCCAGUCCUGACUUUUGGCUCUGAGAUGGCUACUUGGCAGAAGCUAGCUGUUCCCAGAGCUGAAUUAGCCCCAUGCCAAUUGGCUUAUGAAAUGUUUACCAGCAGUUUUAAGAGAUCAUGGUGAAAGGCACGGCGAGGCCCGAAGGGCUUUUAAAGCUCUACUUGCUCAAUUUCUGUUUUUAUAACAUGAAGAGAAGGGGUUUUUAACAAGCCUGCCCUCUCCAUUGUAGGAGCCUGCCUA